UUUAACUUUUUGUGUAUGAUGUCAUGAUGAGAAGCCUUGCAUGCUUAUAAGAAAAGUUUUCUAUGAGUAUGCGGCGGUUGCCAUGACCUUCGACUCACAAUCUCGGAUUGAAAGUGUGACAAUUAAUAUAGUAUUAGAGCAUAAGUAAAUAGAUAAAGACAUGUAGAAUAGAAUGAGCGAGUGAUGGGUAGAUAUUAGAAAAUUUAAAAAGUUAGUU
rnacentral:lncRNA from 1 species